rnacentral:rRNA from 1 species
AGUGAGAAUGCCGGAAUGAGUAGCGAGAAUUAUGUGAGAAUCAUAAUGGCCGAAAAUCUAAGGUUUCCUGAGGAAGGUUCGUCCGCUCAGGGUAAGCCGGGGGCUAAGGCGAGGCGGAGACGCGUAGCCGAUGCACAUACGGUUGAAAUUCCGUAGCCACCGAAAGAUUUAAGUACAGGGACGCUUUAGAAGUGAUGUUGCCGGGCGAUGGUUGACCCGGUCGUAAGGGAUCGAAAAUGAGUAGAGAAGUCAUCAUGGAAAGAGACAAGAAAAGCUGUAUGAAUAUCUUAGGUGCCCGUACCGCAAACCGACACAGGUAGGUAGGAAGAAGAUUCUAAGGCCAACGGGAGAAGGGUUGUUAAGGAACUCGGCAAGUUGACCCCGUAACUUAGGGAUAAGGGGUGCUCAAGUGAUUGAGCCGCAGAGAAUAGGCCCAGGCGACUGUUUAGCAAAAACACAGGUCUCUGCUAAAUCGAAAGAUGACGUAUAGGGGCUGACACCUGCCCGGUGCCGGAAGGUUAAGAGGAGAUGUGAGAGCAUUGAAUUGAAGCCCCGGUAAACGGCGGCCGUAACUAUAACGGUCCUAAGGUAGCGAAAUUCCUUGUCAGGUAAGUUCUGACCCGCACGAAAGGUGUAACGAUCUGGGCACUGUCUCAACAACCCGCCCGGCGAAAUUGUAGUACCGGUGAAGAUGCCGGUUACCCGCGACUAGACGGAAAGACCCCAUGGAGCUUUACUGUAGCCUAAUAUUGGAUUUCGGUAUUUCACGUACAGGAUAGGUGGGAGACUGGGAAGCACAGGCGUCAGCUUGUGUGGAGUCGACCUUGGGAUACCACUCUUGGAGUGCUGGAAUUCUAACCUGCGGCUUUGAAGCAAGUCGGGGGACAUUGUUAGGUGGGCAGUUUGACUGGGGCGGUCGCCUCCUAAAGAGUAACGGAGGCGCUCAAAGGUUCGCUCUGCAUGGAUGGAAACCAUGCGUCAGAGUGUAAACGCAAAAGCGAGCCUAACUGCGAGAAUGACGGUUCGAGCAGUAACGAAAGUUGGAGUUAGUGAUCCGGCGGUAUGUGAAUGGAAAUGCCGUCGCUCAACGGAUAAAAGCUACCCUGGGGAUAACAGGCUGAUCUCCCCCAAGAGUCCACAUCGACGGGGAGGUUUGGCACCUCGAUGUCGGCUCAUCGCAUCCUGGGGCUGAAUUCGGUCCCAAGGGUUUGGCUGUUCGCCAAUUAAAGCGGUACGCGAGCUGGGUUCAGAACGUCGUGAGACAGUUCGGUCCCUAUCUGUCGUGGGCGUAGGAUAUUUGCAAGGAGCUGUCCCUAGUACGAGAGGACCGGGAUGGACGCACCUCUGGUGCACCAGUUGUCACGCCAGUGGCACAGCUGGGCAGCUAUGUGCGGAACGGAUAAACGCUGAAGGCAUCUAAGCGUGAAGCCGCCCUUAAGAUAAGAUAUCCCUUCUGUUUACAGAGUAAGACCCCUUGAAGACUACAAGGUUGAUAGGCUCAAAGUGUAAGCACGGUGACGUGUUUAGCUAGCGAGUACUAAUCGGUCGAGGGCUUAACCUU